ensembl:lncRNA
UGGCUCUUUUAUCUGGAGCUGCUGGUCAAAGAGGAAAAAUUACAUUAAAUGGACAAGUAGAAGAUUCUCCUGAGAAAUAUCCUAAUGUGAAGAACUGGACUUAGAAAUGACAUCAGAGGAAGAAGAAGAAAAACCUGUUGGAGAUGAAAAUAGCCAUUCCCAGGUUCCUAGGAAACAGACUAGAUGCCACGUGCCUGAUCUUUGUGCUCCGUAUUCUAAUCUCCAAGUAGAAUGAUUUUCUCCAUUUUUUCUUCUUUGUAAUUUUCUCUCUUCACUUCUUCUGUAAAGCCUUCCUUAUUUCACUGAUCACUUUCAUAUAUCUCUUACAUAUCACAUCAUAUCAUAAUUGUAUAUCUGUCUUUGAGGCAAGAAUUUGUGUUUUCUUGCAUAUGGUUG